rnacentral:lncRNA from 1 species
AUUUUUAAGCAUGGAACUUUCCCUAUCUACUUUGUCUUUUUUGCACAACACAAUACAGGUUUCAAAUGGCAACAGAUAAAGUAAUAAAGACUGGUUUCAAAUCGUAGAAUCAGCCAAUUUUUAAGCUACAGGUUAUUUUUUUUCUGCAAAACUGGUAUUUCUGUGCAUCUGCAAAUUCCAUAAAAAAGACAUCCUUAUCAUGUUCACAGGGAAGACCUUCACUGAGUGAAAGUUAAUUUUGUAAUAUCUUAAUUUAACUGUUUAAAAUCAUAUUCCUAUACUCUUCUUUAACAUAUAUAACACAAAUAGUUGUGGACAUAAAUGGUAAAUCGAGAAGUCACCAUUAUACAAAUCCCUAAAAGAAUCUAAAAGAAGUAAAAAGAAUUAAAGAAUUCUAAGAGAAGUGAAAUUUAGGAACUAUAUUUACUGUCAAUUAUUUUUUCUAAGUUUAGAAUAUCAUAUUCUAAAGAAUGUAUCAGCAUUAAAUGCUAUAUUUAACAAAGGCAACAUUAUUUCAUGUAGGAUACUGUGAAGAAAGAGUUAACACAGCAAGUCUGUUUUACUGAGUCCUUGCUACUCUGGGGGUUGGGGGAUGGGGGCAGGGAAUGCCUGGAGCCAUGGCAAUGACCCCUGGCCAAACUCUGAGAACUAAACUCCUGGAAUGUUCAGUCACUGGGUAAGGAUGUUAGAGGCAGUGGAUCAGGAUCUAUCAGGCUGUCAGCAUUGUUUAAAAUUUGAAACAGAUUCCCAAAUGUUAACCACAGAUGUCGCUGGCCCACAGAUCAAGAAAAAAUACAAAGGCAACACAUACACUUUAUGAGGUGGCCAACCAAAGUGGAUAAAGAAUUCACUAGAAACAGGCCAACCACACUUGGAGAGAGCAGACAGCUACUAUACUAUUGCCACCAGCACUGCUACCGCCGGUUUGGAUAACAAACAAUCCCACAGUCUCUUGGCUCUAGACUAGGGAUGAGAAAAACCAAAAACAAUUUGCAGACUAAAUGGAAAUCUCUGUUGUCAUUCCCUUUUCCCUAUUUUUCCUUCUCCAUGCAUUCCCCAGAGCUCACUGCCAUAGUUUUCUGUCUCCACAACUGAAUCAUAUAAGCAGCAAAAAUAUCACAGGACAAUAGUACCUUCAGAUGAAACUUGCCUUGUACAAUUGCAAACAGGAAAGUUCUCUACUACUUCACCUACAACACUGUCUGAUGUUACUUGUAUAUUAACUCAAAUGACCUUAGGGACCUAAAAGGUUUUAAAAUUUGCUCAACAGACCAGAUGAAAACACAAGUUUGGAAUGAAGGCAGAUUCUAGAUUUUGGCCCAAGAUAAUGGUUUGAAAUAGUUAUCCGGUAAAAAAGAACAAAAGAAACAAAAACAAAAACUCUUGUUCACUUAUUGGUCUGUUACAGAAAGAUAAUGAUCUAGUAAGUCAUGACUUCUCAAAGAUACCACGCAGUGCAAAACAUACUCUUCAUCUUCUUUCCUUAGCUAGUCAGCAAUGUGGUACAUUCAUUUUUGUGGAUUUUUUUUUUCCUAAUUUGAUUUCUCACUUAUUUGGUUUCUCCCUAAUGCCACUUAAUUUUGUUUCUUAGCUUAUAAGGUUAGUGGUUGCUCUGCAUUCUCUCCUGCUGAUCUUACUCGACUCUCUGGACCCUUGCUUUUGGUUUCUGUGAAUAACUCUUCUCUGCCUCACUCCCUCAAUCUGGCAGAAUCAGAUGGCUUCUGCAAGGAUACUAGCUGAGAUGCUUACUAGGCCAUAUCAUCCCAAGAGCCUUUCCUGGAAUUUUUUUUAGCCCUUUGGGGGCAGAUAAUAGGAUUUGCUUCCUGAUCUCAGAACCAAAAAC